UGAGUACCCGCGAUCUGAAAGCCCGAUGGCACUUUAUACAUCUAUAAAAAUAUUUUAUAAAUUAUCAUUUCUCAAAUCGAAGGCGCCAAUGUAUAUAAAAAUGGUUUGGAUCCUUGGGGCUGUUGGCAGUGUUGGAGAUACUUCAUGAGUUGGGUUUCCUCUCCACUUGGGGGAAAAAGGGAGAAAGAAAACCCAAAAGAUGACGUUGAGCUUCCUGCUACAGAGACAGCAGCUGGCAGGACAUAGAUGCUGGAGAACCGAGCCGUGGACGUGGAUACCUUUUAAAACGAGCAAUUAUUUAGCAAACAAUUAUGGAAAUCAAACUCACUCAAUAAAAAAUAGCACGUAUCCAAC